GCCGGGCGUGGUGGCUCACGCCUGUAAUCCCAGCACUUUGGGAGGCCGAGGUGGGUGGAUCACCUGAGGUCAGGAGUUCGAGACCAGCCUGACCAACAUGGUGAAACCCCAUCUCUA
rnacentral:SRP_RNA from 1 species